UGUUCUGGAAACUUCCGGAACAUUGACACGUAGUAGCUAUAACCAGUUAGUUCCGGUACUAGGUAGUUACCUUAGCUCUCUAGAUGUUUCUAGAACGUCUAACUAACAGGUAUAUAAACGGUGCUACAUAGAGUAAGAGACAGAGUGCGAGUUGAGUUGAUACGACGUUUGUAGUUCUUAGUGUGCUUUGUAUUAGAGUAUACAUAUUUCGAAAUUCCUAUUGUCUCAAGAACACAACAACCAGCCAAAGCCGACGAUUAUGAUCAAGUUCGAGCUACCGCCGCGAGACGUUUGCAGACUAUAGACCACUGUUGGAUGGAAUAGGCACGAAUCCCGGCGAUAAGACCCUUGAGGACAAGUUUUCUUGAGCGAGAGGUCAAACAGAAUUUUCAUACCACUGGAAGUACUCUGUCUCAAAAUAUUGUUGUCGAUGAUGAUAUUUCAAUGCGUCUGAGUAGAGCUGGUGUUGCCUUUGGCAACCUGACUAGACGCCUUUGGAAUGAACAUGGCAUAACCACAGCCACUAAGGUCAAAGUGUACAAAGCUGUUGUGAUCACCACUUUACUUUAUGGUUAUGAGACUUGGACAUUAUAUAGAAGACACAUUAAACAGCUCGACCAAUUUCACAUGCGAUGUCUUCACGAAAUUGGAAAUAUAAAAUGGCAAGACGUGAUACCCAAUACCGAGGUUCUGAAGAAAUGCAACAUGCCUGGAAUUGAGGCUCUACUACUACAAGCUCAACUUUGAUGGUGUGGCCAUCUUGUUCGAAUGAAGGAUGAUAGAAUCCCAAGGGCAGUGUUUUAUGGUCAGCUGAAGGAAGGUUCUAGAACAGCAGGUGGUCAGAAAUUGCACUUUAAAGACACUUUGAAUCCAAUUUGCAAUCUUGUAAUAUCGAUAUAUCCAACUGGGAAAGCUAUGCAUCAGACAGAUGUCUGUGGAGAUCUUAUUGCAACAAAUCUUUAGAUCACUUUGAAGACCAGCGUUUGAAAAAACAAUCCAACAAAAAAGCAGGUUCAACUGAAUGUCCAUUCGUUCAUGCAACGGUUUCAGUUCAGUGUUUUCUGUUCCUUCCUAAAAUUGAAGGAGCAAGAGCAUCGGGAAUAUCCUGUGGAUAUCAGAAUGCGUGUCUCAACGUAUCGCUCAAAGAUCAAUAACUAUGUUCCUAUUUUUGAGAGAAUGGAAUGAUAACUGCCACUUGUACGUUGUACAGAUAUGUUUGUUAGUCUUACAAUCAAUUACGAAAUGAAUUAUUUGGAGUUAAA